rnacentral:rRNA from 1 species
AGUGAACGCUGGCGGUAGGCCUAACACAUGCAAGUCGAACGGCAGCACAGUAAGAGCUUGCUCUUACGGGUGGCGAGUGGCGGACGGGUGAGGAAUACAUCGGAAUCUACUUUUUCGUGGGGAUAACGUAGGGAAACUUACGCUAAUACCGCAUACGACCUACGGGUGAAAGCAGGGGAUCUUCGGACCUUGCGCGAUUGAAUGAGCCGAUGUCGGAUUAGCUAGUUGGCGGGGUAAAGGCCCACCAAGGCGACGAUCCGUAGCUGGUCUGAGAGGAUGAUCAGCCACACUGGAACUGAGACACGGUCCAGACUCCUACGGGAGGCAGCAGUGGGGAAUAUUGGACAAUGGGCGCGAGCCUGAUCCAGCCAUACCGCGUGGGUGAAGAAGGCCUUCGGGUUGUAAAGCCCUUUUGUUGGGAAAGAAAAGCAGCAGGUUAAUACCCCGCUGUUCUGACGGUACCCAAAGAAUAAGCACCGGCUAACUUCGUG